ACUGAAAACAUCUUCCGAGCUGGGGGAUUCUAACAGAUGCCGAAUGGUUGUUUUGUUUCGCGCACAUCAGGUCUUUUCAGCUUGAAGGUGAUAUCAACUAGCAACCGUAUUAUGGCUCACUUGGAUAUUGCCGCUUACAGCUGUGAGUGGCAGAUGAGCGAAAUUAGAUCUCCAGCUGACACUGGCACAAGUAAAAGUGUUUUUCAUGCCUCAAAUUUUGUUGGUUUCGGUGCGGCUCGGAGGCAGGCUAGUUUGAAAACAAACGCUCAUGCCGAUACUUUAACCAAUUUCAUAGGGGUUACAUUGAGGUAGCCAGAAACAUAAUUCGCCAAGGAAGGAUGGCGCAAUCACACUAGGAAAUAAUAAAAAAAAGUCUUCUAAUUUUUUUCUCUUUUUUUGGCCUUCUGAUCAUAUAAAAGCAAGCUAAUAAAGUUUUAAGGCUACACUGGAGUUCCAGUGGAAGAUGAGCUUUUUCCAAAACAGUGAUGCAAGCCAAUCUUCUCUAUAAUCAUCUUUUUAAAUGUCAACAGAACUAAUGACAUAGUGAGCUUCAUUAACCUGCACUUGUCUUAAUUUUGUCAGAUAGUAUCAUAAAAUCCCAGCCUCACUUUUUUACCACAUGAUGGUGAAAUGACAAGUGGAAGAAGACAUGAGACCAUUCUUUAAAUUUUUUUUAGGUAUUUUACAUUAAGAAAAUUUCAAUUAAUAUAUAUUUUUUGACUUGAUAUGUUUUUUUAAAGCAUAAAUCUGAUUAAAAAAGACACAAACUUUUUUGAUUUGUAAUUAAAUAAAAAAUAGCAAGUGAAUGUGAGGGUUUGGGCCUUUUUGCUUGUUUAAUUAUGGAGCCGCAAGCGAUAAUUCCGAGCACCUUUGAACUACUCACAGACUGAUGAGCAGCAGGUGGGAACUGGAACGUGCAGGACACUGUGGGACCAGAAUAACAAAGAGGAACUGGGGUUGGUGCUUCAGUGGAUGGAGCGGGAGUUUCUUUAAUCUGCUCUUUGACCAGAGAAUCCAGUACACUGGGUCACUUGGUCGAUGGUGGCAGGAGGUCACGGCAGACCGUGGUGCCCACUGUCACCAGUCCGUGAUGGAAUACUCCCAGGAUUCACAGCUACACGGAGUGUUCCUGGAGGAAGGAGCACACUGAGAAAUGAGUCAAAAGCAAAGUAACAGCAUCAUUCAACGGAGGAGUCCACCAGUUCUCUGCAGUCUUCAGGCCACCACUGAUGCAGAUUCAUGAAGCCCGGUACCAAGUGACCCAUGGAUUGGUACCGGCAACCCGGGUUGGGGACCACUGCCAUAGCAGAUUAAAAAGCAAUUCCAGUUCACGAUUCUAUACAAAGCAAGAUUUUCACCGUACAAAAAGUGCAACCUUUUAUUUUUCUUACCAAUGUAUUUAAUUGAGUAUAUUGUUAACAUGCUUGAUCACAAGAGUUUUAAAUUUCUUUAUAAAAAAGCGUCAAACAUAAAAGUUGGCUAAAUUAUUGUGAUUUUUGUGAUUGAAUUAAUAUUAUCCAUGUAAGACACUGAGCAGCUUUCUGGGUUGACUUUGCUUUUGCGUCCUAGUGUAUCAUUCUGCACUCCACUUGUGGGUUUCCUAAAAAUAUAAACUCUGCUCA